rnacentral:rRNA from 1 species
AACACAUGCAAGUCGAGGGGCAGCGGGGGAGUGCUUGCACUCCCGCCGGCGACCGGCGCCACGGGUGAGUAACACGUAUGCAACCUACCCUUGGUCAGGGGGGAUAAACGGUGGGNAAACGCCGUCUAAUACCGCGUAUAUCACGUAGGGGGCAUCCCUGGGUGAAGAAAGGAAGCAAUUCCGGACAAGGAUGGGCAUGCGGCGCAUUAGGUAGUUGGAGGUGUAACGGACCACCAAGCCGACGAUGCGUAGGGGUUCUGAGAGGAAGGUCCCCCACACUGGUACUGAGACACGGACCAGACUCCUACGGGAGGCAGCAGUGAGGAAUAUUGGUCAAUGGGCGGAUGCCUGAACCAGCCAAGUCGCGUGAAGGAAGACUGUACUUAGUAUUGUAAACUUCUUCUGUCAGGGAACAAAAAAGGUUAUGUAUAACCCUCUGAGUGUACCUGAAGAAAAAGCAUCGGCUAACUCCGUGCCAGCAGCCGCGGUAAUACGGAGGAUGCGAGCGUUAUCCGGAUUUAUUGGGUUUAAAGGGUGCGCAGGCGGCAAGUCAAGUCAGCGGUAAAAUGUCGGGGCUCAACCCCGGCCGGCCGUUGAAACUGGGUUUGCUGGAGUAGGAGAGAAGUAUGCGGAAUUCGUGGUGGUUAGCGGUGAAAUGCAUAGAUAU